rnacentral:rRNA from 1 species
CUACUCCUACGGGAGGCAGCAGUAGGGAAUCUUCCACAAUGGACGCAAGUCUGAUGGAGCAACGCCGCGUGAGUGAAGAAGGUUUUCGGAUCGUAAAGCUCUGUUGUUGGUGAAGAAGGAUAGAGGUAGUAACUGGCCUUUAUUUGACGGUAAUCAACCAGAAAGUCACGGCUAACUACGUGCCAGCAGCCGCGGUAAUACA